rnacentral:rRNA from 1 species
GAUGAACGCUGGCGGCGUGCCUAAUACAUGCAAGUCGAGCGAACAGACGAGGAGCUUGCUCCUCUGACGUUAGCGGCGGACGGGUGAGUAACACGUGGAUAACCUACCUAUAAGACUGGGAUAACUUCGGGAAACCGGAGCUAAUACCGGAUAAUAUAUUGAACCGCAUGGUUCAAUAGUGAAAGACGGUUUUGCUGUCACUUAUAGAUGGAUCCGCGCCGCAUUAGCUAGUUGGUAAGGUAACGGCUUACCAAGGCAACGAUGCGUAGCCGACCUGAGAGGGUGGUCGGCCACACUGGAACUGAGACACGGUCCAGACUCCUACGGGAGGCAGCAGUAGGGAAUCUUCCGCAAUGGGCGAAAGCCUGACGGAGCAACGCCGCGUGAAUGAUGAAGGUCUUCGGAUCGUAAAACUCUGUUAUUAGGGAAGAACAAAUGUGUAAGUAACUAUGCACGUCUUGACGGUACCUAAUCAGAAAGCCACGGCUAACUACGUG